AGAUGUCUACUUAGACAGAAAUGGAAAUCCCCAUUCUAUUAGAAGGAUUUUUCACAGAAUCGGGAGUGAUUCGCCAUCUGAGAAGAACUUGACCCUUUGACUGUGAGCUGCUGAACUACUUUUCACAAGAUUUGUUCUAUCACUGAAGCUUUCCUUUCUUUUAUGUCUUUCACAUGUAGACCACGAUCCCCCAAAUUGUACUUAAGGUUUGUUGUAAAUCUAAAAUAUGAGGAACCUUUCAUAGGAAACAUCUAUUAUUUAAAACAAAACCACUAUUUAAGGCUAUAAAGAUGCAUUUUUUUUAAAGAAUGUUAGUCAGAAGUAGCUAUGUGAAGUGAAAUUGGUGUUCUCUAUUGAUACAUGUAGUAUCCAACCUGAUAAAUAAAAAGAUGGACUACUACCAUCAAAAUUAUGUACUUUUUUACAUACUUUUAAAUCUUGAAAAAUGAAAGUUUCUAAUUAAAAUUUCAUCAGCACUGACAGUGUGUAGGCUGUAUUUAAAUUCAUUUGGUU
rnacentral:lncRNA from 1 species